rnacentral:rRNA from 1 species
CAAGUCGAGCGGGCGUAGCAAUACGUCAGCGGCAGACGGGUGAGUAACGCGUGGGAACGUACCUUUUGGUUCGGAACAACACAGGGAAACUUGUGCUAAUACCGGAUAAGCCCUUACGGGGAAAGAUUUAUCGCCGAAAGAUCGGCCCGCGUCUGAUUAGCUAGUUGGUAGGGUAACGGCCUACCAAGGCGACGAUCAGUAGCUGGUCUGAGAGGAUGAUCAGCCACAUUGGGACUGAGACACGGCCCAAACUCCUACGGGAGGCAGCAGUGGGGAAUAUUGGACAAUGGGGGCAACCCUGAUCCAGCCAUGCCGCGUGAGUGAUGAAGGCCCUAGGGUUGUAAAGCUCUUUUGUGCGGGAAGAUAAUGACGGUACCGCAAGAAUAAGCCCCGGCUAACUUCGUGCCAGCAGCCGCGGUAAUACGAAGGGGGCUAGCGUUGCUCGGAAUCACUGGGCGUAAAGGGUGCGUAGGCGGGUCUUUAAGUCAGGGGUGAAAUCCUGGAGCUCAACUCCAGAACUGCCUUUGAUACUGAAGAUCUUGAGUUCGGGAGAGGUGAGUGGAACUGCGAGUGUAGAGGUGAAAUUCGUAGAUAUUCGCAAGAACACCAGUGGCGAAGGCGGCU